rnacentral:rRNA from 1 species
GACGAACGCUGGCGGCGUGCUUAACACAUGCAAGUCGAACGGAAAGGCCCAGCUUGCUGUGUGCUCGAGUGGCGAACGGGUGAGUAACUCGUGGGUGAUCUGCCCCUAACUUCGGGAUAAGCUUGUGAAACUGGGUCUAAUACCUGAUAGGUCAAUCGUUUAGUGUCGGUUGUGGAUAGUUUUUUCGGUUAGUGAUGAGCCCGCGGCCUAUCAGCUUGUUGGUGGGGUAAUGGCCUACCAAGGCGUCGACGGGUAGCCGGCCUGAGAGGGUGGACGGCCACAUUGGGACUGAGAUACGGCCCAGACUCCUACGGGAGGCAGCAGUGGGGAAUAUUGCACAAUGGGCGCAAGCCUGAUGCAGCGACGCCGCGUGGGGGAUGACGGCCUUCGGGUUGUAAACCUCUUUCGACAGGGACGAAGCUUUGGUGACGGUACCUGUAUAAGAAGCACCGGCUAACUACGUG